rnacentral:rRNA from 1 species
GAGUUUGAUCUUGGCUCAGGAUAAACGUUGGCGGCGUGCCUAAUGCAUGCAAGUCGCACGGAGCUUCGGCUCAGUGGCGGACGGGUGAGUAACACGUAGGAACCUGCCCGGAAGUGGGGGAUAACUCCUCGAAAGAGGAGCUAAUACCGCAUACGGUCUACGGACCAAAGCAGCAAUGCGCUUCUGGAGGGGCCUGCGGUGGAUUAGCUAGUUGGUGGGGUAAUGGCCUACCAAGGCGACGAUCCAUAGCUGGUCUGAGAGGACGGCCAGCCACACUGGGACUGAGACACGGCCCAGACUCCUACGGGAGGCAGCAGUGGGGAAUUUUGCGCAAUGGGGGAAACCCUGACGCAGCAACGCCGCGUGGGUGAUGAAGGCCUUCGGUC